rnacentral:rRNA from 1 species
CCUACGGGAGGCAGCAGUGGGGAAUAUUGCGCAAUGGGCGAAAGCCUGACGCAGCGACGCCGCGUGAGGGAUGAAGGUCUUCGGAUCGUAAACCUCUGUCAGCAGGGAAGAACGGUCACUGUGCUAAUCAGCAGUGAAUUGACGGUACCUGCAAAGGAAGCACAGGCUAACGCCGUGCCAGCAGCCGCGGUAAUACGGAGGGUGCGAGCGUUAAUCGGAAUUACUGGGCGUAAAGCGCUCGUAGGCGGUAUGUCAAGUCAAGGGUGAAAUCCCCGCGCUCAACGUGGGAACUGCCUUUGAAACUGGCAGACUGGAGUGUGUGAGAGGAGAGUGGAAUUCCAGGUGUAGGAGUGAAAUCCGUAGAUAUCUGGAGGAACAUCAGUGGCGAAGGCGACUAUCUGGCACAUAACUGACGCUGAGGAGCGAAAGCGUGGGUAGCAAACAGGAUUAGAUACCCCAGUAGUC